AAGUAAAAGUCGUAACAAGGUCUCCGUUGGUGAACCAGCGGAGGGAUCAUUAAUGAGUUACCAAACUCCAAAACCCUUUGGUGAACCUUACCGUCGUUUCCUCGGCGCGUGCUGCGGUUACCCUGUAGCUACCCUGGAGACACCUACCCUGUAGGUGUCUACCCUGGAGCUACCCUGUAGCCGCGUGAAGGCCCGCCGCAGGACCAUUAAACUCUUGUUUUUACAGCUGUAUCUCUGAAUACUUAACUGAAAUAAGUUAAAACUUUCAACAACGGAUCUCUUGGUUCUGGCAUCGAUGAAGAACGCAGCGAAAUGCGAUAAGUAAUGUGAAUUGCAGAAUUCAGUGAAUCAUCGAAUCUUUGAACGCACAUUGCGCCCAUUAGUAUUCUAGUGGGCAUGCCUAUUCGAGCGUCAUUUCAACCCUUAAGCCCUGUUGCUUAGCGUUGGGAGUCUACGGCUUCGGCGUAGUUCCUGAAAAUCAGUGGCGGAGUUAGGGUACACUCUCAGCGUAGUAAUCUCUCUCGCUUGUGUGGUGGCCCUGGCUGCUAGCCGUAAAACCCCCUAUUUUCUAGUGGUUGACCUCGGAUUAGGUAGGAAUACCCGCUGAACUUAAGCAUAUCAAUAAGCGGAGGA
rnacentral:rRNA from 1 species